AAAAAGCCAGGCCCGGUGGCUCACUCGUGUAAUCCCAGCACUUUGGGAGGCCAAGAUGGGUAGAUCACUUGAGGUCAGAAGUUCAUAACCAGCCUGGCCAACAUGGUGAAGCCCCAUCUCUACUAAAAAUAGGAGAAUUGGCCAGGUGUGUUGCCACACGCCUGUAUUAGCUGGCGUGGCGAAGUGAGCCUGUAAUCCCAGUCACAUGGGAGGCUGAGGCAGGAGAACUGCUUGAACCCGGAAGGCGGAGGUUGCAGUGCGCCAAGAUGGCAUCAUUGCACUCCAGCCUGGCCACAGAACAAAACCCUGUCUCUAAAAACAAAGUCAAGGGUGCGUUAAGCAGCUCCGUCAUGUCCUCACGUGACACCAUCUCACCAACACGGCAACACCACCUGCGACAUUCACCGUCACACUGACCAGGCUACCAGCAGGUGCUGCAGUCACAGCACUGGGCGCCGGCACCACGGCAGAGCAAGUGCCCACUGAGUGCCAGGCACCCACUGUGUGCUGGGUGGGUGGGGGACGGAGGAUGCAGCCAUGUGCGACGUGGUGCGUCACCAUAGCAGGCCGAAGCCUGCGCACGAAAGAGUGAGGCUUUAAAUGAGAGAAUAAUCUGUCAACGUGAAACUCUCAGGGUUUUAUUCCGAAUAAAGGUUUUUGCAAAAUGGAGUUGGGUUCACUUUCUGGGUCUUUUUUUUUUUUUUUUUUUUUUUUUUUUUUUGAGACAGUCUCACUCUCCAGUGCGCUGCUCAAGUGCAGUGGCGCGAUCUUGACUCACCGUAAGCUUCACCUCCUGGGUUCACACCAUUCUCCUGCCUCAGCCUCCUGAGUAGCUGGGACUACAGCGUCUGUCACCAUGCCUGUCUAAUUUUUUUUUGUAUUUUUAGUAGAGACACGGUUUCACCGUGUUAGCCAAGAUGGUUUCAAUCUCCUGACCCUCAUGAUCUGCCCACCUCGGCCUCCCAAAGUGCUGGGAUUACAGGCGUGAGUCACCGUGCUCCGCCACAGCCGGCUAAUUUUUUCAUGUUUUUAGUAGAGACGAGGUUUUUCCAGGUUGGUUAGGCUGGUCUUGAACUCUCAACCUCUGGUGAUACACCGGCCUUGGCCUCCCAAAGUGCUGGAAUUACAGACCCGGCCAGCCUAAACGAGUUUUAAAAUGAGUUAGAGAUUUUGGGUUAGUCUUGUUUUCCAGGAAUAAAGUACCAUUUUCAGUGGCCAAGAAUGUACCAGAGGGUGUGGCCCUGUGACAUAUCCGGCUGGGUCUGCCCAGGGCCCUGCUCAGCGACCGGGGCUUUGUAGGAUUUAUGCUGCCAGUUGCAGAGAAAAUGGCCCUGAGUGAGGGCGCUAUGACUGCCCCACCUGCCUCCUGUAACCACGUGGCUGUGGGAUUCGGGGCCGAGAAUUCGGGUUCCUGUGGGGCCAGCGCACGGCCCUGUGCUUCUCCCUCGGGCGGAGAGAGGGUGGGGGCAGCCCCGUGCAUCUCCACUCUAGGAGGGAGGGAGGGUGGGGGCUGGUGCGCCAGUGCGGUGUCUCUGCUGCAGGUGGCUGGGCUGACGCUGCUGGCUGUCGGGGUCUACUCAGCCAAGAAUGCCACGCUUGUCGCCGGUCGCUUCAUCGAAGCUCGGCUGGGGAAGCCGUCCCUGGUGAGGGAGACGUCCCGCAUCACGGUGCUGGAGGCGCUGCGGCACCCCAUCCAGGUCAGCCGGCGGCUCCUCAGUCGGCCCCAGGACGCGCUGGAGGGUGUUGUGCUCAGUCCCAGCCUGGAAGCACGGGUGCGCGACAUCGCCAUAGCAACAAGGAACACCAAGAAGAACCGGGGCCUGUACGGGAAUGUCCUGCUGUACGGGCCACCAGGCACCGGGAAGACGCUGUUUGCCAAGAAACUCGCCCUGCACUCAGGCAUGGACUACGCCAUCAUGACAGGCGGGGACGUGGCCCCCAUGGGGCGGGAAGGCGUGACCGCCAUGCACAAGCUCUUUGACUGGGCCAAUACCAGCCGGCGCGGCCUCCUGCUCUUCAUGGAUGAAGCGGACGCCUUCCUUCAGAAGCGAGGCACUGAGAAGAUAAGCGAGGACCUCAGGGCCACACUGAACGCCUUCCUGUACCGCACGGGCCAGCACAGCAACAACCCCAGUCACAUGUCACACGGAGGAUCAAGUCCUGCCGGUUGGCCGUGGGUGACUCUUCAGGCACGUUGGGCUCGCUGGCUCAGCUGCUGCCGGUUGAUGCUCCCUGGAGCCCUGACUCAGAUUCAUGCUGGUCCUGGCCAGCAAUCUGCCUGAGCAGUUCGACUGCGCCAUCAACAGCCGCGUCGACGUGAUGGUCCACUUCGACCUGCCGCAGCGGGAGGAGCGGGAGCGCCUGGUGAGAAUGUAUUUUGACAACUACGUUCUUAAGCCGGCCACAGAGGGAAAACGGCGCCUGAAGCUGGCCCAGUUUGACUUCGGGAGGAAGUGCUCGGAGGUCGCUCGGCUGACGGAGGGCAUGUCGGGACGGGAGAUCGCUCAGCUGGCCGUGUCCUGGCAGGCCACGGCGUAUGCCUCCAAGGACAGGAUCCUCACAGCCCAUGAUGGACGCCUGUGUGCAAGAUGCUGUCGGCAAGUACGACAGAGAUGCGCUGGCUGAAGCAGAGGGCCUGGGCGCGGGGGUUGGAGCGCCCCCUAUCCCGAGUCCAAGGCGAGGCCGGCACCUCAUGGAGCCUGGCAGCGGACCCCUCCUGCCCCUGCACGUUUAGGAUAUGCUCCUCGGUGGGGACUGGGCUGUACUCGGGGCCUCUGCACCAGGAUGUCUUGUGGUGGGGGUCAGCCGUUCUGCCCCCCAGGACACCCCCUGUUGUAGGCACUGGCUAGGAAGGGGCAGGCCUCGUUCCCGCCCCUCGAGACACUCUUGGGAGAUGCAUUUUCCCUCGCUCAGAGGCGGAGGGUGAGGCUUUGCACCCCAGCCCCUGCCCAGGCCACUGGGAGGGUGGGUGCUGGCUGAGCCCCUGGGGCAGAAGGAGUGGGGCGGGCGGGGUCUUUGUCCUCGGCUCCCACAGCAGAGCCAGGUGAGGGGGGCCUGCCAGGACUAGACAGAGGUGGGGCAGCCUGAACCCUGCUUCCAGCCAUUGCCAGAGGGCAGGGAACCUGGCAGGGGUGUCUGAGGCCACACUGUCAGCUGGCCGGUCCAAGCCUGUGGUUGGAGCUGGUGUCUGUUUAUCUAAUAAAGUCCCACAGGUGCCUCA
rnacentral:sRNA from 1 species